rnacentral:tRNA from 1 species
GCCGAAGUGGCGGAACGGCAUACGCGGUGGUCUCAAAAACCACUGGGGGUUGCCCCUUGUGGGUUCGAAUCCCACCUUCGGCA